CAAAGAUCUCUAUUGCUUUGUGAAUUUCCUCAUCGGUUACUGUCAACGGCGGAGCGAUGCGGAAAACUCCACCAAUUCCCCUCAAAUGAACGAUGUUACAGUUCAUACCUAAUUCCAAACAUUUAUCUCCAAUUACAGUUCCCAAAAAAUCACUAGGUUUGCUAGGAUCUGUACAAGAAGCAAUUUCAAUACCUUGCAACAGACCCAGACCGCGUACAUCAACAAUCAAAGGAUGCUUAUCCUUUAGACGAAGGAGAUCGGAUCUAAGUAGUUCUCCUGAUAUUUUUGCUUUUUCAACUAAGUUAUCUCGUUUUACCACCUUCAAAACUGUAGAGCCUAUCGCAGCUGGAAGGGGAUCGGAAGCAUGAGUUGUAUAGAAUACGAAACCAUUGUCGUAACAAACUUUUUCAAUUUCUUCAGAUGUUAUUACUGCAGCUAAAGCAGUACCAGCUCCCAAAGACUUCGAAAGCGUUAGAAUGUCAGGAACGAUACCGUGGUGUUCGAAUGAAAACAUUGAUCCAGUCCUUCCUAUACCAGUUUGAGCUUCAUCAAUAAUGAGUAGCAUACCACGUUCUUCACAUUUUUUCUUGAGAGCCUUUAAGUAGCCCUGGGGUAAUUCAAUAAUACCACCGGUACUGAGAAUGGUUUCUACAAUCAUGCAAGCUAAUGAACCAGUCGAUUGUUUGUCAAGCAUGUAAAAAGAGUAGUCAAGCUCCUUUUGCCAAUCGUAAUUACCUUUGGCAUCUCUGAAUGGAGAUAAUUUUGGAUUUGGUUCUGGAAUGGUAUAUGAUCCGGGCAGUGCUGGACCAUAGCCGCGUCGUGCUGCAGCAAAAGUAAGACUAGCCGCGCCUCCAGUAACGCCAUGCCAUGAAGAAGAGAAAGCAACGCAUUCGUAUUUAUUUGUAUAAACUUUCGCCAUACGAAGUGCUGCCUCAUUCGCUUCACCUCCAGUACUAAGAAAAAGUGUUUUGUCAAGACCGUCGGGAAGUAAAUCACUCAAUUCAGUUGCAAGUUGUACGACUGGAGGGCUCAAAAACCCACUGAAAAGAUGAACCAAUUUUGGAAGGUUUUUUUCGAUACAAGCUGUGAUAUCAGGAUGAGAAUGACCUAAAAUGGCACUCAUUUGACCAGAAGUAAAAUCCAAUAUAGCGUUAUCCUGUUCAUCGUAAACACAACAUCCUUUAGCUCGUACAAUUAUUUUUGGUGCAAAAUCACCGCCAUAUCGAAUUAGGGAUUUGUUGGCUUGGUUCCAAAAUGUUACCGGGUCCAAGAUGCUAUUGUUACUUACAUGAGAACUCAUGUUUAUAGUCAAAUUUUUAAAAUUAUCUCUUUCUCAAGAAACUCUAACCUAUUUUAUAUAAAUACAUAAUAAGGUCCUGUUCGUGAAUGUAGCAUGAGAUAGACACUCUGCCCAAGUUAACGAGAUA